rnacentral:rRNA from 1 species
GUGAACGCUGGCGGUAGGCCUAACCCAUGCAAGUCGAACGGCAGCACAGUAAGAGCUUGCUCUUACGGGUGGCGAGUGGCGGACGGGUGAGGAAUACAUCGGAAUCUACUUUUUCGUGGGGGAUAACGUAGGGAAACUUACGCUAAUACCGCAUACGACCUACGGGUGAAAGCAGGGGAUCUUCGGACCUUGCGCGAUUGAAUGAGCCGAUGUCGGAUUAGCUAGUUGGCGGGGUAAAGGCCCACCAAGGCGACGAUCCGUAGCUGGUCUGAGAGGAUGAUCAGCCACACUGGAACUGAGACACGGUCCAGACUCCUACGGGAGGCAGCAGUGGGGAAUAUUGGGCAAUGGGCGCAAGCCUGAUCCAGCCAUACCGCGUGGGUGAAGAAGGCCUUCGGGUUGUAAAGCCCUUUUGUUGGGAAAGAAAAGCAGCAGGUUAAUACCCCGCUGUUCUGACGGUACCCAAAGAAUAAGCACCGGCUAACUUCGUG